UACGGAGGGUGCAAGCGUUGUUCGGAUUUAUUGGGCGUAAAGCGCGUGUAGGCGGUUUCUUAAGUCUGAUGUGAAAGCCCUGGGCUCAACCCAGGAAGUGCAUUGGAUACUGGGAGACUUGAAUACGGGAGAGGGUAGUGGAAUUCCUAGUGUAGGAGUGAAAUCCGUAGAUAUCAGGAGGAACACCGGUGGCGAAAGCGCUCAUCUGGCCCAAUACUGACGCUGAAGCACGAAAGCUAGGGGAGCAAACGGG
rnacentral:rRNA from 1 species